GGGGCAGUCGUUCAGUGGCAGAGCAUCUGCUUUGCAUGCAGAAGGAAGGACUGCAGUUCAAUCUCUGCCAGCUCCA